GCACUUGAUUUAGCAGCACAUAUACUAAAAUUGCAACAGUAAAGAGAAGAUUAGUGUGGCCCCCGCACAAGAAGGAUGACACCCAAAUCCGCGAAGUGUUCCAUAUUUUC
rfam:Fukomys damarensis contig110116, whole genome shotgun sequence.